UGGGGAAUAUUGGACAAUGGGCGCAAGCCUGAUCCAGCCAUGCCGCGUGAGUGAUGAAGGCCCUAGGGUUGUAAAGCUCUUUCGGCGGGGACGAUAAUGACGGUACCCGCAGAAGAAGCCCCGGCUAACUUCGUGCCAGCAGCCGCGGUAAUACGAAGGGGGCUAGCGUUGCUCGGAAUUACUGGGCGUAAAGCGCACGUAGGCGGCUUGUUAAGUCGGGGGUGAAAUCCCGGAGCUCAACUCCGGAACUGCCUUCGAUACUGGCAAGCUCGAGUCCGGGAGAGGUGAGUGGAACUGCGAGUGUAGAGGUGAAAUUCGUAGAUAUUCGCAAGAACACCAGUGGCGAAGGCGGCUCACUGGCCCGGUACUGACGCUGAGGUGCGAAAACGUGGGGAGCAAACA
rnacentral:rRNA from 1 species